GUAGGGAAUCUUCCACAAUGGGCGAAAGCCUGAUGGAGCAACGCCGCGUGUGUGAUGAAGGCUUUCGGGUCGUAAAGCACUGUUGUAUGGGAAGAACAGCUAGAAUAGGGAAUGAUUUUAGUUUGACGGUACCAUACCAGAAAGGGACGGCUAAAUACGUGCCAGCAGCCGCGGUAAUACGUAUGUCCCGAGCGUUAUCCGGAUUUAUUGGGCGUAAAGCGAGCGCAGACGGUUGAUUAAGUCUGAUGUGAAAGCCCGGAGCUCAACUCCGGAAUGGCAUUGGAAACUGGUUAACUUGAGUGCAGUAGAGGUAAGUGGAACUCCAUGUGUAGCGGUGGAAUGCGUAGAUAUAUGGAAGAACACCAGUGGCGAAGGCGGCUUACUGGACUGUAACUGACGUUGAGGCUCGAAAGUGUGGGUAGCAAACAGGAUUAGAAACCCUAGUAGUCC
rnacentral:rRNA from 1 species